rnacentral:rRNA from 1 species
UACGUAGGGUGCGAGCGUUAAUCGGAAUUACUGGGCGUAAAGCGCGCGCAGGCGGUCCUUUAAGUCAGGGGUGAAAGCCCAGAGCUCAACUCUGGAACGGCCUUUGAAACUAGAGGACUUGGGUACGGGAGAGGUGAGUGGAAUUCCGAGUGUAGAGGUGAAAUUCGUAGAUAUUCGGAAGAACGCCAGUGGCGAAGGCGACUCACUGGACACGUAUUGACGCUGAGGUGCGAAAGCGUGGGGAGCAAACAGG